rnacentral:tRNA from 1 species
AGCGCGGUAGGACAGUCAGGAGUGUCCGUCGGGCUCAUAACCCGAAGGUCGGUGGUUCAAAUCCACCCCGCGCUA